GAGAGAUCCUCUUUUUAACAGGAAAAUUUGGUCACGUAGAUCUUCUAUUUCGCCGGAAUUCGUUGAUUGCUCCGUACGAAUUUACAAUGGAAAAACUCCUGUUCGUUGUAAGAUUACUGAAGGAAAGGUUGGUCAUAAAUUUGGAGAGUUUGCUUCUACACGGAAACGAAGACCUUCGAGAACAAAUAUUGGACCUCAGAAUUCGUUAGUUUCUCUGUACGAAUUUACAAUGGAAAAAAUCUUGUUCGUUGUAAGAUUACUGAAGGAAAGGUUGGUCAUAAAUUUGGAGAGUUUGCUUCUACACGGAAACGAAGACCUUCGAGAACAAAUAUUGGACCGGGAAGAAAAAAGGGGAAAAAGUAAAGUCUAAGCGCAUAUGGCACGAAAAGGAAAUCCUAUUUCGGUAAGACUUGAUCUGAAUCGUAGUUCAGAUUCAAGUUGGUUUAGUGAGGGCGACCGCGAAAGUCACCGAAUGGGUCAGUCUUUUAGUUCUCCCAGAUUAGAAUAUCAAAGGAGGACGUUGCAGAUGCCCGGGGCGGACACGACUUCUUCUAAGGCUAGAAGACCACUGGAAGACACCCAGGACAGACCAGGAAGAAAAAUGGGGUAAAGGUAAAUCUAAGUGCAUAUGGCACGAAAAGGAAAUCCUAUUUCGUAAGAUUUGAUCUGAAUCGUAGUUCAGAUUCAAGUUUGUUUAGUGAGGGUGACCGCGAAAGUCACCGAAUGGGUCAGUCUUUUAGUUCUCCCAGAUUAGAAUAUCAAAGGAGGACGUUGCAGAUGCCCGGGAAGGAGCCUAAAUCGCCCCCCCCCGCCUCUUUUUUUCUUUGAAAAAAGCAGUAAGGAGUAAGGAGAUUAAACUCUCGGAUGAGACUAAGCAGCUACCGACCGUUCCGAUUUUGCAGAUACCUGGGUCGGACAUGACAUCUUUUAAGGCUAGAAGACCACUGCAAGACACCCAGGACAAUAGCAUGUCGUGAAAGAAGCACACUGGACAGGCGUGCUUCGACCGUGUCUCUGUGGCACAGUUGAAUGUAUAUAUCAUGAACGCGAGGUGCAGGAUACCAGACCUAGAAACCCGGGCAACCAUUCCCCUAUGCCAAUCGCUAGUGCAUCCAGGGCCCCGGCGCCCAGCUCAGCUGGAGAGGCCUAGCCUGAUCUGAGAAGUGCUAAUUCGGUUCGGAUAGACUUCAUUCAAGAAUGCCACCGCCCCGGGAAUCAAUAAGAAAACAAGUGCUAAGUUUCAGAUCAGUGAAUAAACCGAAAGGAAAGAAGAGACCUUUCUCGCUCAGCGCCUAUGGUUUGGAUACUCUUCAUUCAAGAAUGCCACCGCACCAGGAAUCAAUAAGAAAACAAGUGCUAAGUUUCAGAUCGGUGAAUAAACUGAAAGGAAAGAAGAGACCUUUCUCGCUCAGCGCUUAAAGCGCACUAUGCCCCGCUUCAACAAAUGAGAGUUUUAGGUGGAACCGGUGAACCACGCGAGAUGAUCAGAUGUGUGGGACAGAGGGCUAGUAGUACCUGCUAGCUCAGCUAUGCAGUGGAAGGGAAGGAGCCUAAAUCGACCCCCCUCUUUUUUUCUUUGAAAAAGCAGUAAGGAGUUAGGAGAUUAAACUCUCGGAUGAGAUUAAGCAGCUAUCGACUGUUCCGAAGCGCCCUUGACCUCUUUUGACUAAGGCAAAAAACCUAUCUCUAGGUCUCGAUACGUAAGGAGUAUAGAGGGCGGGUGUCGAAACCCCAUGCUUUGAGAGUUCCUUUCUGCCAGCACUUUCUCUACCCGGGAGUCACUUCAUCAGUACCUGGGGCUACUGUCCCAGGAUGCCAAAGGUAUGAUCCACACAUUGAAAGUGUCAACGUUGACUCACACGCGCCACAGAUGAAGAGAUGUCAAAGGGGCUUCUUACUUCCCAAACAGACCCUCCUACAUCUAUGUAUAAACGCUGGUUUAUCAAGAAUAUGCAAGAAAAUCACUUCGAAUUGUUGAUUAAUCGUCAGAGAUGGCUUAGAACCAACAGACGAGGCUAGAAGGGCGGAAUCUUUACUACCUCUUUGCACAAAAAGAGACUGAGAUAACGAAGUGGAUGCGCCUUGAUUUCCGCCAAAUCCUUACUUAAUGCCGCAAUUCCUCCCCAUGGAUGGAUGUUCUCUGGUGAAAGGAAGACGCAAGCGUCAGACCAAGGAAGAAAAGACCGGACCGAGACCAAGACCCUUUGAGAGAAGAGUCAGAAUUGCAAGUUUUAAAAAUAUGCCUCAGCUUUACACUUUGCUUCAUCAAAGCUUUUUCCAUCACUUGCGCACCUCCCCAAUUCAUUAGCCUAGGCUUCUACAGGCAAACCACCACCUUCAUUGUAGGGUGGAAACUCCAAAGCCAUAAGGCAUUCAGAUCAAGCUAUAAUUGGAAAAUCAUGGGCUACUUGCCUAUAGAUAUUUUACCACUGUAGUUGAGGAUGCUAAUUUCUUGAAAGAGUUUGCCUCCUUUCUAUAUUAUCAUCUUUUCGAACGCAAAUCCUUUCUUUCUUGGUCGUCUGUCUUAAUAAGUAGAUUUUGACUCAUGCAGUCGUUCCCUGCUGCAUUGGUCUUUUCACACCCCACUCUCCACCAUAAUAAAAUGUUCCACUAUAUCUCAGGAGUAGUCAAUGGAAGUACGGCUGGUCCGAGUAGGAAAAAUUUACUAAGAAGUAGGGCAUACAACAAUGGAUCAAUUCAUUCAACAAGAUCUGUUCGGAUCAGACCACGAUUAAUGGAAUUGUUCUGACCUCUCGCUCGAGCGCAUGCUUUAACAUAGGCGGAUGUGGGACACAGAAAGAAUAGAUUCAGGUGCUCCUGAGUCAAGAGAUUCUUCUCCCUAAGUAGCAUUCUUGUAAGUACAGAAGGAAUUCUCCAGAAAGAAUAGAUUCAGGUGCUCCUGAGUCAAGAGAUUCUUAUCCCUAAGUAGCAUUCUUGUAAGUAUAGAAGGAAUUCUCCUGUCUCUGAAAAGAUAAAGCUAAAAGCAAUCUCUGGUAUAAAUAUUGAUACUGAUCCGCCUCUACGGGAGGUGGGUGGGGAUCAAAAGAAGCAAGGCCGGGCACAUCAUACUCUUCAGUGAUUGUGUCAUGUAAAUUUUCAUAGUGAAUUUCUUGAAUAUCAACCCUGAAAGAGAGAUCUCAAGGUGGUGGGAAAUGAGAAUCAACAAGAUAGGAUGCUCUGUCCCAACUAACAAGAGUAGGAAGAUUCCAGCUUUGAAUCUUGUGCUUGAUGGUGAUCAUUUCUGCCUAGUCUCAACAAGAUAGGAUGCUCUGUCCCAACUAACAAGAGUAGGAAGAUACCUAGAGAAUGAAAAAGGCUUUGUUAAGGAGGCAUGAUUUUCACGUCGAACAACAGUUGAGAAAUACUAUCUCUGGGGCCCUCACUUUAGGGCUAUCUUUCACCGUUGACUCACAUGGUUCAACGUGCCAGCUACACUUCCUCUUCUAGAACAGUGACAGCCUAGUCUGAUUCCCCCUUCCGAAAGUGCCACCUGGUUAAUCUCUUACUUAUACAAAUUAUACUGAUAAACGGGAGUUAAGCCUAAGAGAACAACAACUAAGUAUGAAAGCCACUUAAGAGUGGCUAAGGCUGGCAUUUUCGAAGCCUGGUCAGAGUGCGACUGGUUAGGGGGGCAUGGGUUUUGUCUGAAUGGAUAAAGUUCGUUCUCUCUUACUGGUCUUGGUAUUACACUAUCGCGGAGGAAAAUAUACUCCCAUUAAGGUGAUACUUAGCCUGUAGGUUGUGCCACUGGUGACUAAGCAUACAAAGAAAUUAUAUCAUUUUAAUAAUUACUAAUAACGGCGUAGUCUUCUGGUGUUAUGACCUCCCCUGGUCAUACUUUAGUAUCACAUCGUACAACCCCACCCCAACGCUAUCUUCCUUAUCAGUGAACUAGAACAUAGUACAUAGGUACUCUUCGAUGCAGCAGGGACGAAUCGACGUGACAUACUACGAUCACGUAAAGAAGUGCUGUCCUUCGUCUCGGCAAUGUGGAACCUACUCUAAUCAAAAGACUAGAGGCCCCUACUGAAGAUAGGUCACCAAACUACGACCGAGAGUUUUGCCUUUUGAAGCGCCAGUCACGUACGGCUACCGGGCCAGGCCGAGUCAAAAAGGCUUUGAUGACUCAAGGUUCAUAUUAGGGAAAGGAGAGUAAGGGGAAGAAGGGGCAACCCUCGGCCCGAUCAUCCAAUUCGCUCCAACAGACAGGCAUGGUUCUGUAAUCAAAGAAACUUCAUCCCUUUCGUGUACCCAUCGGACGGCAGCCCUUUAAGGGGUUCCUUAGGGACCAAUUCACUCUGCGUAGAUUGCCUGAACGCAGAAAACCUUCCACUGGCAGGCGAUCAACUUGAUGCGGAAGAGGCAUGAGUGCACUUCGAUCUUGUGGUGUAUUCCUUUGUUGUUAGUAGGGCCUCUUUCUCGUUGAUAAGUUCGUCUCCGAUAUAUUGAAAACUAGGAAUUCCUACGGCGGUUUUGUCAAUGAACGCGUCUCGGGCGGGAUUGACUAACCAAACCCACCCUUAAGGAGGCUUUUCAAUAGUUGGGUGUCCGUAUUAGUGUGACUUACGAAGGCUAGGCUAGUUCCAAGAGGCUUUUCUUUUAGGCAGUUUUUCACUGUUGGAUCUCGCCAAUACAGCCCCCUAUUGUUUGCGUUUUUGAGAUAUCUUUUUUUUUUCAUUGUUCCUAGGUAUUUUUUGGGGAAUCUGCUCCCAUUCUGCAAAUUGUGAAAUCUUAACUGAACCCAGUCGCUCUUCUUUCUUUCCUCGCGAGCAGGAAGCACACCAGCAUCGUGCGUUGUAUGAUUCGAAUAGGUUGUUCUCAAAUAAGCUCUUUGAAAGAUAACUGAAUGCCUUUUGUCCCUUGGGGAAGGGUCUGCACCCAGGGGCUCUUUUUAGCACAUUUGAGGAAGUGAAGACGAAUAGUCGACUUUGUUGCCUCGCGUGUUAGCCUGCUUGUACUAUCGCUCGCCUGCCCGACCUGCUUUCUUGCUAUCUUCUUUAUGGCAAGCACUACCCUAACCUAGCAAGCUCUACAUCUUGCGAACAUCGUCUGAAUUGCCUUGCUUUUAAAAGGAUUGGAUUUGCUGCUUGCCGUUCGCACCUUGAUCUGUCUAGUUCUAUUUUGACUAAUCCGAAUCUGUAUACUGAGUAAAAGCGAAAUGUCUUCUCUCAAAUCUUAGUAGAGGGAAGCCCCAUGACUGACCAAACCGAGGCUGGGGUAGAUAGAGGAAGAGAAGAUUUAUUGAAUGCUCUCGGGCAUUUAUUGAGGGGCCCUAUCUAUUCCAUCUCUCGAACCCACAAGAAAACCCCCUACCCUUUGGACUCCAUAUAUCUUUUGACCCUAUAUAUGUGGGCAGCUGAAGGAAGGUCACGUUGGCGCCGUGCAAUCAGAAAGCCUUUUGAUAACCUUACUACAAAUACACAGGGGAAAGAUGCGCUCAAUGCCUUGCUUCUUGCUCCAACUUAGGAGUAGGGGCUCUAGAGCUUUUUCCGCAGGCUGCUAUUCUAGUUGUAGCGCGGUAGAGAUGGCUUCAAUUGAUCUAUUUCAUGCCCUACAUUCAAAGAUUUGGUUCUUUGUGGGGGGUAAAGCCCUCUCCUUUGCAUUAUGUAAGUUGGGCUGCUCCAGCUAGAUUGCAUUAUAAAUUUCUUUUGCUUUGUGUGGGAUUGCCGGGGAAACCCACGAUUUGGGUCAUUCUAUGUUGCCUGGGUCCUCUUACCAGUCGCAUGAACCUCAAGAUGAGGAUGGAUCUAAAACCACAAUCCUCUUUGGGGGCCAAAUACCUCCGAUCUCUACCAUAUGUGCCAAAGAAGAAUGAGAAGAAGCCCGGAAAAGAGCAAAAAAGAACAUAACCUCCGAUACGAUAAACAGAAUAAAACCAUAUCGAGGUCCUAAUUGUACGACUUUGGUAUGAUGUCCUUCGAACGUGGAUUCACGUAGAACAUCGCGCCACCAUAAAUCGAGGUCAUAAUUUUACUACUUUGGUAUGAUGGAGCGGAAACUAGGUCCAGUGCCAAAAAAGAGAGAGUCUAAUUAUGAGUUGAAGCUGCUCUGCUAAUGCCCUGGCCAAGAGACGAGUUAUAUCUACAUCCAUCCUCAUAGUAAGAAAAAGCCAGUGAAAGCUCUCUUCUAGGCGCUUAUUCCGAUCUAUAUGACCUCCGGGUGGUACAAAGUUAACCUCUUCCGUAGAAGCGGUUAGUAACCCAACCUUUAAGAAUUUGUUCAAGAGGAGGGCUUUAAGCCUGUCCUUGAAGGUUUUCAGUGCCAGUAAGGAAAAUGACCUUCACGUUUUCAUCGCCCUUUAGAGAAAUAAUAACCUUUAGGUUAGCUUUCUUUCUCUGCUCUCAUUGCCCCUCUUCUUAUUUAUAAAGUGCCAUUCUUUCUUCAGCGCAGUCUGGGCCUUUCGGAGUUAGGGAGGUUCUUUUAAUGGGAGUAGCUAUAAUCAAGCAAGCAUUCCAGCGAAACGAUACUUUUACAGACUCAAUCUCAAUCAAAGACUAUUCGACGAUCUUUUUCAAAAAGCUGAAGGACUCGCUAAGGUCAAAUGAUAGGAAUUGCAAUAGAAGGCGAAAGGGCACCAAAUAGUUCCCUCAUUUCGGUGUCAGCCAUCUUUCCUAUUUCAUCGGUCCCACCAACUACUCAAUCUAUUUGUUCCCCCUUAUUGAUCCCAGGGCUAUAAAGUCUAUCCGUUCAUCAUUUCCAUUAGUAAGGGGAAGCGGACCCGAACUCUCCAUCUUUAGCUAAGGUCUUUUGAAAAACUUCACUUCAUUUGUUCCAAUGCGUAAGAACCUUGAAAGCGAUAACUCCACUAGUUUUCCCCCCUAGUACCUGUCCCUAUCUCUGAAUCUCCAUCAUUGUCUUUCUCCUGCUAGCUACUUUAACCUACUUCCGAUUGAUCUAUUCCCCGAUGUAGCUACUAAAACUUUUUUAAUGACUUAAGGACUUGCGAUUGCUCUAUGCACCGGACGGGAUCAGAGAUAGGAGCUAGAUGGAGAAAUAUCAAGGAUGGACGUGUAACCCAAUCCAAUAGAAGUGUAUAAGUAGGCCUUUCUAUCAAUCUAUGCUUGUAAGUCAUUCUAUACUAUGUAGGUGUAUUAGUUGUCUGAAUAAAUAUUCAUAAGCACGAUUUGACUCUCUCUUAAAGGCUCCCUACUGCUCUAUGAUUUAUUAUAGUCGUACUCUGCAUCGUACCUGGUAGCUAGCCUUUCACUUCCUCCUUGUACUAGAUUUUGAAUUUAAUUCCCCCUGAAAGCGAGAACGCAUUUUAUGCCUUUAAAAUUAAAAAAAGGCAAGAAAAAAGAGAGAUCUCCUUUCUUUUCUAGGUUUGGCAAGAGGAAUGAAAAUCAUAUCCUAUACGAAGGCCUAUAUACAAAAAAUAACUUUUCCUAGAAUCCCAAGUUGCCUCCCCUCUCCUCUGAGGCCGAUAGGAUCUGCUUUUGGAGCCCCUCGCCUUUGAGUAUGGCAGCAGCCCAGGCAUAGACCGAAUUAGGGGCCUAAACUCUUGAGUAGAUUGCCCAUGGAAAGGAGCUUACUCCAAGAUCUUACUCCGCCCGUGUAGGAGUUCGGGAAGGCCAGAAGUAAACAAAGAGCGGUAGAAGAGAAUAAAGUGUUGCGCCCAUUCUUUUCAUUCAUAGCUGGAGCAAAUGGAAGGAAACGUCGUGUAAGCCGAAGACUUUGACAAGUAUCUGCCCAUGUAGGAGUUCGGGAAGGCCAGAAGUAAACAAAGAGCGGUAUAAGAAAAUAAAGUGUUGCGCCCAUUCUUUUCUUUCAUAGCUGGAGCAAAUGGAAGGAGACGUCGUGCAAGCUGAAGACUUUGACAGGUGUCGGUAGGCACGCCUCUGAUAAGGGCUCGAUCCUGAGAAUCAAUCCCAAUCGAAUCUAUGGAAGGGAGACCCUCUAUCCUUGAAGACUUUGACAGGUGUCGUUAGGCACACCUCUAAUAAGGGCUCGAUCCUGAGAAUCAAUCCCAAUCGAAUCUAUGGAAGGGAGACCCUCUAUCCUG
rnacentral:lncRNA from 1 species